UACAUACUUCCUCCAUCCGACAAAGGAUGUCUCAACUUUGGCUAAAUUUGAAUGCAUCUAUACACUAAGUCAUAUACAUCCAAAUUUUGACAAACUUGAGACAUCUUUUGUUGGACGGAGGGAGUAUUUU
rfam:Brachypodium distachyon strain Bd21 chromosome 3, whole genome shotgun sequence.